rnacentral:tRNA from 1 species
UCUUAAGACUCUGAAAGCCAGAAACAGAUUUUUAAUCUGAAUAUGGUGGCUAGCGCCCACCCUUAAGAAU